CCCUCUACAUCAGUCCUAGUAGGAGGGGUUGUGGGCCUGGUUGUUGCUGGUGUUCUACUGGCCAUUCUCCUGGUACUGCUGUGUCGAUAUAAAAAUGCCGGAGGUUCCUGUUGCAACAGAAUAUUCUGGCCCCCCCAGCCCCAGAGGACCAACCUGGACCCCCAACAGGACCAAGGAUCUACCCAGGGCCAGGCUCCUGAUGCUGGGUAUACACGUCUGCAGCAUGGUCAGUCUCUCAGCCCAGACCACUGUCACUCUCCUCUCUGUAACUUCACAUACUGACUUUUCACCAUUCACUUUAUAUAGAUGUUACCGUACUCUAUGUCCCUAGGCAAGCUGAGGGAAAACCAACCUAUUAAUCUAACUCUCUCUACUUUGACCAACAGGUGGCGCUAACAUCUAUGAUAAAAUCACGCCCUCAGACAGUAAUGACAAUGAUGCUGGUGCUGCUACUGCUGGACCAAGUGAGGUGAUGUACGCCAAGAUUCAACUCAAAAAGUUGGACAAGAAAAAGAAAAAAAUGACAGCUGAUCCAAAAGAAAAUCCAGUCUAUUCUGAAGUCAAGACAGGGAAGACCACAG